ensembl:miRNA gga-mir-12285 gga-mir-12285
GUGAGUGCUGCAGGGCCGCGCGCUGACGUCCCCCCGCGCCCGGCCUGCCCCGCUCAUCUCC